UGGUCCUCUGGGCAUGUGCACACCUCUGGUCACUUGUUUCUUCUGUUCCACCUGUGCACUGCCUGUAGACAUGCCAAUGGCGUGUCUAUGAUAUUUGUUACACACACGAUGUUAUGCAAGUUGGUUGGCAUAUUACAUGUUAUAAUAAAUAUACAACUUUCAACAACGGAUCUCUUGGCUCUCGCAUCGAUGAAGAACACAGCGAAAUGUGAUAAGUAAUGUGAAUUGCAGAAUCCAGUGAAUCAUCGAAUCUUUGAACGCAUCUUGCGCUCCUUGGCAUUCCGAGGAGCAUGCCUGUUUGAGUGUCAUUAAACUAUCAAAACACUUUUUCUCGAGGUGUUUUGGACUUUGGGAGCACUGUGCUGGUCUCUGUUUGAGCCAGCUCUCCUCAAAAGCAUUAACUUUGAGACCAUCAGUGUGAUAAUUUGUUUGCACUGGCCUCUCUUUUUUAACUGCCCCUUUGACCUCAAAUCAGGUAGGACUACCCGCUGAACUUAAGCAUAUCAAUAAGCGGA
rnacentral:rRNA from 1 species